ensembl:snoRNA
GCUGUCCUAGAACAACACCACAGUUAUGGCUCAGCUGUGCCCGUGACAUUGGGGCAAAGAGCAAGUGGCUAUUUCUACGCUAAGAAUGGUUUGUAGCUUGACAUUU